AUGAACACACGGGAGCUGAUCUCCGGAAGUCUUGACAGCGUCAAGCAACAGGCGAAGGCCAUGGCAUCCACCGUCUCGUCAGCUAGGCUGGCCGAGAUGAACACGACCGACCUCGCCGCGGGCCUCGGCCACGUCAAGAACCAGGCGGCGGCAGCGGUUUCCACGCGCGAAGGCGCCGUGAAAGCCGCGGCGAUGGUCCUCGGGGGCGCCGUAAGCAUCUACUUCCUCUGGCCCGCGGCCGCCGCCCCCGCCGCCACCGGCGCCAUGAUGAACGCGCCGGGCGCCGCCGGCUUCGUCAUAUCCCGCGUGGCGUUCCUGGCCAAGAGGCAGCUCUACUUCCACGUCCUGCGCACUGCCGGCCCUGUCGCCGCAGUCGCGGUUCUCGUGUAG
rnacentral:rRNA from 1 species